rnacentral:lncRNA from 1 species
GGUGAAGCUAAUUAGAUUGAUGCAGAUGAUAAUAAAACAUAUCCAUUGAACAUUUAAUCUAUGUGUCUGGGAGAAGAUAGACUGGUAACGCAGCUCCCUUUCUUCACGGGAAAACCCCCAGAAGGUAAACAUUAACUGCAAGAAACCAUAGAUUCUAUAAAGACAGGAAGAAAUGGGAAAACUACAGCCCCACAUUACCAUCCUUCUACUGAGCUAACAUAGGGAGUAUUAAGGAGAAUUCUGCGUGGCUGAACAAAGCUUACAUGGUUACAGAACUAAAUGCAAUGUAUACUACAGCAUAUAAGAAAAGGAUUUUUUUUUUUGGAAGUACUUCCUCUGUGUAUGGGAACUCUUAUGUCAGGCCUGAACUGGUGAUCGAGCACCUGGUAAAGGGAGUGGCUGGCCCAGGGAGCACAGGUGCAAACAAUUCACCUAUGCUUCCCACGUGACUGGAAUUGGGAGGACCAGGGUCCACCCCUCCCAGGGCUCAUUUAAGGGCUAGUCUCCCAUGAGAGAGGGUCUUCUGGCUGUGUGCUGUGUUUUGAAGGGGAAUGUUCAGGAGCUGGAGACCAUAUUAUCAGUUAGACGUGUUAAAGGAGCUGAUAUCAAGCAUAUGGUCCUUCCUAGUCUGUGAAGAAGGAGCAGAUGUUCCAAUAUGUCCGGGUUGUAAGUAGAAAGGAUAACAAAAAGCAAUGAAGAAACACUGUUGCAGUAGUCCUUAGACUUUUAAAUCAAAGAAUGUCAAAGAUAAGAGUGAAAGCAAGCACUAGAUGAAAGGUGAGACUGAAUGCACAAAUGCCCUCAACUUACAGAAGGACACAUGUAUGAACACAUGGAUGCAUUCAUAUAAACAAACAUCCUGAAAUAAGCUUAGAGCUAAAUCUAUAAAGAACGUUCAGGAGCUCUUAAAUCUAUCAGAUCUCUCAGAUCUCAGUUAUAUUAUAGGAGCUUCUUCCAUGGGACCUUUUGGUAACUUGAAAGAGAAACAAACAGGCCACCUAAGGUCAAAUAGACUUAUUUGUAUAGACUUAGUAUAGAAAGACCACAGAUAGGAUGUCUCUCAUGUUGCCAGGAUUUACUCAAGGUGUGAAGCUAGCAACCUCUUCCACUUCCUGGGCAUUCACAAUCAGCCCAGCUAACGGUGGGCUUGAAGUCUCAUUUUCUUGCAGGUUCAUUUUUCACUUGAUAAACAUGGCUGGAAGAACCAUUGCAAUAGUUUUAUAUAUCUUUAUUGGAUGACUUUAAAAUUCACCCAAGAAAUUAGAAGUUAUCUUGAAUUUGAAUCUUGUCACAAAGAUUUGUUCUACAAAUGGAUUCAUGAGGACCAUCACCAUAACUCAGGCUUAAUUUUUGACCUUAUUGGAGAAGAAAUGCAAGAUUGACUAGAAAGGAGAAAAGUUCCACCUAAAAGGGAUAAUGACUGUCAUCUGAGAAGGAAGGGGAUUCAAGUUCUGAUUAGACACCACAGGCCUUUCUUUUCUAUGUUAAAUAUCACUGAAUUUGGUUAAUAAAUACUGAGAGACUGGGAGCUGUCUCCAGCAGCAAAUUAUACUUCAAAUUAUCUUGGGUGCCAUAAACAGUGAAAUCACAGAAACAAAGGAAUUUAGGAGUUAGUAGAUCAAAUCCUACUAUAAUUACUUUCAUCCUGGCUAUGAUUUUCCAGAUCUCAAAUUGCCUAGUAAGGUCUACUUUUAUUCUCCUUCCUUCACUCCUAAGACUGCAGACAAUUUUGUUCUGUUCUCUGACCUUUAUGAAUAAUUAAGUUUGCUGUCUACCUGAUGCUAUUGUCUAGUUCUCUAUGCUUCUGCUAUUUUUUAUAAGGCAUACAGAACUCCUUACAGUGUUGCAAAUACACCUUCAUUCAUAAAUCCCUUAUGCAGAAACUGGACUAACUUCAUCUAGAAUAUUACUGUUACCUCCCUAAAUGAAUGUUAACAUUUUUCAUUACUGUUAUACACUGUCCUGAAGCUUUUUGAUCUCAUUCUACCUCCAGAUCCUGCUUCCACUCAAUAUUUUGUGCCAUAUGAUCACAGAGGGCAUAAGCAUUUUCUCUUAUUUUGUGUCCCUUAUCUCAUUAUCUUACACUUCUUUAAUUGCAUAAGGCACUUAUCUUCCUUUGGGCACAUUCUGUCAGAGUCAUCUUGACUUUUUUGCCCUUCUUCUUUCUAUUGAUUGCCCCUUCCUUGCACGUAUCAUCAACAAAUUUAAUUCCCCAGUGUAUGUGCCUCAUGGGUCAAAGCAAUGUUUUUCUAAUACAGAGCAAAAUGGUGCUGUAGAGUAGUCUCCCUUUAGAACAAAUUGUUACUCCUCCUGAAUGUACCUAUCCCCUUUGGUCUCUUAGCCAUUCUUUAAGUAUCUACAUUUUUGGCACAUAUAGUGAUAUUUUAGGAUACAUUUCAAUGCUGUACUAACUAAAAAUUUCUUCUAAAAUUCUUUUAAUUAUUCAGGUUCACUUAUCUUGAUUAGUAUGUGCAUUAUUGCUUAUUAUCUUCAAAACUCCAUUUAGAAACUUAGUCUACAUUCUUCUCCAGCCUUAUUAGAAUUGAAGUCAACUCAAUGGAAAGAGAGAAUACACAAAGUCUGAUUUGAAAUGAGUAACACAGCAAUCUACUGUGUAUGCAUAUGCAUGUUCAGAAUAUAUCAGAUUUAUUACUAUUACAUAUCUAUCUACCAGGGCUGCUCCGAAAGCAACACCUCUUACUUUAUUACUUUGGCCCAUGACAUCAGAGGUGGAUUUUGGUGGUAUGGCAGUAGAGGCUGAACUGUCCCACCAGUACUCCAUUACACAUUGUUGCUGUGUGACAGAUAUCAGCGGAGGGGCGGUGUGAUACCAUGGUGUCUGACAUGAAAGUGCAGAUGAAGCAAAAGGGUGUCACUGAAUUCCUCCAGGUGGAAAAAAUGGCACCUGUUAGCCUUCAUCAAUGCUUACUGAAUGUUUUUGGAGAUCAAACAGUGGAUGUGAGCAUGAUGAGGCAGUGUGUAGUGCACUUCAGCAGUGAUGACAGUGGGUCAUCUCUACUGAUGCAGAUUUUUGUGAAGGCAGCGUGCAGCUCUUAUUCUUAUUUUGCUGGCAAAAAAAAUGCAUAUCUAGUGAUGGUGACUGUGUUGAAAAACAGUGUUUUGUAGCUGAGAAUUUUCUCUAUCAAUUAGUGUUAUUGUUCUCUUUGUAUCUGUUCUAGUUUCUCUGGAAGUAAAUCGGAGGCAUUACUUUCAGAGCAACCUACACAAAUACAUUUAAUUUUAAUAUUACCCAAAUCUUUUUUCAGCUGGUAGGAAUGGCAGGAUCAUUCAUGUUUAUGGUUUUGGCCAAUCAAUUUUUAUUAACUUGGUUGUAAAUGUUCUUUUUUUUUUUUUUUACCUUAACAAUUUUGUGUUUUAAAUAUUUUGUUGCAUGUCAUUCAGGAAUUUAGCUUAAUGGACUUUGUGUAGCAGCCUCUUCUUGUUGUACAAUUAUAGAAACAUUCUUUGCAGCUACUCAAAAUUUUUAAGCAUUCAAAAACUUUUCUCUCAGCAUUUGUCUUUACAGUUUCAAAGAAGCUAUAUAUUUUGCUUUCUUCUCAUACCUCAAUAAAUAAAUUAGAGAACAUGCUAAAAUAUCAUUAUCUUAUUCUGGUACUACACUAAAGUUUAAAACCUAUUAGAAAUUAACAGAGUGGAAUUAACCAUUAUGUGAAUUUUCUUGGGGGGUGAAUAGGGAAAACUCCAUGAAAGGAGCUAUUUUCUUGUAAUAAUUAACAAUCAUUUAAUAAUCUCAUGGGUCCAGGCUCUCAGCUGAUAUAGAUUGCUCUGCUGGUUUAAACCAGUUGAGAAUCUGACACAUCAACUCUUUCCUCUAUUACUUAUUAUUUUACGCUGAAACAAAACUGCAUUUUACAUUAGUGAAAAGGGAACUAGAUGGAUAGGAAAAGAACAAAUAUUCAAUUUUUAUAGCUUUUCUUCAGGCUUUUCACAUGAAUCCUUUCUUUCUGUAUCUCUUUUAGAUACUUACUGCCAACAAGUAAUUUAAAGUCUUAAAGUAUUUACAACACUGUGUUGCCAGAGCUCUUGUUGUUACCCUAAUUCUUCUUAAUUUGAAGUGAUUAGAAAUUUAGCCAUUGUCUUAAGAGUGAGUAGAUUUAGGGCAGAGCCAAGUAACUUAGGCAGUAGUGUUAACAAGUAAAUUAAUAAAUAGAAAGUGAUCAUGUUAUAAGCUUAGUUUUAAUGCUCGGUAACUAUGAAAACUUAUGUUCUAUAAGAAGCUUUCCUGAAGCUAUUUUGUUCUUUAUCCAAUUUUCUAAAUGUAGAUGCUAUAAUUAAAAAAAAAAAAAAAAAAGCUACCUUUCAUUACCGCUGGUCAUAUGUCAGUACUUUGAGGUCUCUGAAAUCACGAUGGCAGAAUGAGAGGUCAAUUCAACAGAUGCUGAUUUGAGGCUGUCUAGUGCUUGAAUUUCCAGACUGUUGGUAUUGCAGAUAUCAGCAAAUCUCCAUCAGUCAUAGAAACACUGUUUGUAAGAGCUGAUCCAAGAGGAUUAACAUUUAAGCACUCACAUUGUAAGAUGUGGAAAAGUAGCAUUCAGGGACUUAUCCUCUUUUCCUCUUCCUGUUGCAGUGGAUUGAAUGUAUAAAUUCACAUUGUGCAGAUAAAUGUCAAUGCCACCACCAUUUGAUGUAUGGGGAAAUUAUGUACACUGAAAAACUUAAUGACUUUUUGGAAGCCUUUUCUAAGCAAAAUUACUUAUAAAGUCAUUUACAAUUUAUAAAUAUGUAGGUUCAGUUUCUGUGAGUGUUUGAGGAAGUAUUUUGCCUGCUCUGGCCAGGCAUGCUACAGUGGAAACCCCAACCUUUUCAGCAGACAGUCUUUCCCUGUAAAGGUAAAUUUCUGAGUUAGCCCAUAUCCGAGCCUGCAGUGGGGAAUCUCUACGUAGUGAUUCAAAUCUGAGGAAUACCAAUUGAGGACUGAUAGCCGCCCCCUUUAUAAACAUAGUCAAUAAAGGGAGACCUGUAAAUUAACAUAAAUCCCCUGGUCUAGGAGUGUGUACGGCCACUAACAUAAAUCCUCUGGUCUAUGAGUGUGUAAAGUCACUGGAACUUGCAGCUACCUUCUUUGUAGUAGUGUAUGAAAAGAUGGGAUUUGAGAUCAUUGCUUUUAGCAAUUUCCUCUUCAAAGAGACAGUUUUUUUUGCUCAAGGAAUCUUCUAUAAUUUAUCUUUAUAUCAUAAUUAUAUUCCUGGCUUAAAUGUACAGUCUUAAACUGUAAAUAACAACUGUGAAAUAGAUUUCAGGACUGGAAUGAAUGAGCUGUAAAGCUAAUUCCUGCCACUAUUCUUUGUGCUGUGCAAAAUACUGCUUCUUGAAAGAGACUGCAACCAGAUUUGGGAGGGGGUACUGCUUCAGAGAGACAUCUGUAUGCACUUAAUCCCAAAUCCUUCACACUUUUCUCCUUCUCAGUCUAAGUAGCCAUGUUGGCUUGGCCAUAUUCUGACACCACAUCACCCUUUUGUCCCAGCCACCUUUUGGUUGUAGCACAAGGGAAACCUGCAUGCAUAUCCCAGAAAGCAACUCCAGACAAGUCCCACUGACACCCUGUUUUGAGUCCUUAGAAAACCAGAACCCAUUAGGUACCCUGGCAAGAUGUUAUUGGCACAAAGACACUCUCCUUGGGAGCAGAUGUACUGGUCGGUGAGAAAGAUACUGUUUGACUCAAACAUGGAUGGCAGAUUUCAGCCCAAAGUCAUCAUAUCAAGAUCUAGUUCACAGAAAAUGAGGAAAACCUCUUCACUUAUCAAAACUACUUCAGCAAUAGGGAGAGUAAGACUCCACACAGUUGGCUCCAAAUCAGACUUCUCCAGUGCAUCAUUCUACCCUGGCUGGGUAACAGGUCAGCUGGGUCUGUGGGGUACCAAGCAUGAGGAUCUGCAAAGUGGUCUGUCGACUGCGGAAUGCUCAUUGUGGGGUCGCAUCAUUCAAGGGACCUCUGCUGAAAAGAAAGCUCUUUGGCCACAGCCCACACAGUGUGACUGCUCACUGAAGUAUAAUUUGAUAGACUGAGUAUUCUGUGGAGGGAGAGAGAAAAGAAACACUGUCAGAUCCAUUCUAUGGCUGCACAAUCAUUGCUCACUCUUGCAUCCCUACCUGGGAAAUCAGUCUGAAAGCUCACAAUAAGGGAAAGUAAAUUGAUAAGAAAAGAAUGGACUAUGCCGUUUUACCUGUUUUAUCAUCUAUCUCCCAGGGCUCUACCCAGACUCACUGAACUGUUGAAUAGAAAAUAGUAAGCUCUGCUUGGCAAAGGGCUGACUCAAGUUGCAGUAAACUUACUCCUAAAAUCAACAAAUAAUGAGUGAUCAAAUAGCAACGUUGAGUCACAGUUUGUUCCCUAGGCUGCUCUCAGGCCUACUUACCUAUGUACUUACCCCUUGAUCAUCUUCUGUUGUGGCAGUCGAGUUCUCUGCACUAAGAGAGAAUUGCAGUGUAUUUUGUCAUUUAUUUUCACAAUCUUUUCUCCUUGCAUUGUAGAGUUUCUUCAGGUAGAUUUGCUUUACCAUAUUAUCAAUGCAAGAUUUAUAAGAAUACAAUAAUGCUUCUUCCCAAGCUGUCAACACGAUAAUACAGGACAAAAAAUAUAUAAAAAAUUGACAUACUCUUAAAUGCAUCAUAGGGCCUCUAAAAUAGCUUAAGCACUUCUUCCCUCUUUCUAUUUAGAAUUUACAGUUUCCAUCUCACAGCUGAAAUAUUCAGACUUUCACAUCUGAUUUCCAGUUUAAGUGGCUGAAUGAUGGGAACAAAAGUAAACAAAAUACAUGUAUGUUUUGUCUGAUUGAAGUUCAUAUCUGGUUUUCUCAGGAAUUCAGUAGUAUUUAGUAUACAUGAAAAAAUAAGACAAAAACCAUAUAUGUGAUAAAAGUCAAUUCAGCAACAGACUGAUUUAUAUGGCUACAUCCUCUGACUUUCCUGUUAUUUUAUUUUCCUGGCAAGUCACUUGUCAGAUAUAGUCCAUAACAGUUUAUGUGGCUUUCCAUUGACACACUUAGUAGAUAAGAAGUCAAACUCAAAUUCCUUGGAGGGAAGUGGGGGAAUGGUGUUUUGCUCAGCAGUAAAGAAGAUGGUCUUCAAGACAAAUAAUACAGAGUGGCUUAUGUCCACAUAUCUCAAGCCUAAGUACAUGCACACACUCGUCCCUUAGGCGUACUGGAUGCACCAGCAACUGUAUAUUCAUUAAUCUGAGUCUCAGGCACUACUGCUGGACCUCUCAAACAUAAUUAUUUUUGAGUUACUGGAAGGUGAACAAGCAACAUUCUAUUGCUUGCUCUAUUACAGUCUAUCAUAGAUGUGUUUUGGUUUUUUUUUAUUAUUAUUAUUAUUUUUUUCUUUUCCUGGAGUUUUCCUGCUCCAGAACAAAACAUAGAGUGUGCAGUUGUCUGAGAGUGCAGAAACUGUAAUAGCUUUGGAGGGUUCUUUGUGCAGCAGGAAACCCAGGCAGAGGAGCAAUCUGCAUCCAUGUCUUGUUAGGUACAGAGCCUGAAACAAGGUGUCAUCCUUUCGUGAGUACUAACAGUUCUAUGUUGAGGAAAGUAGUUGGUUCUGCUGGAAAGGUGUCUGAAAGCACGCUAAAAUUUCCUCCUGGACAUUCAGAGGAUCAUGGCCUGGAGCAUACUGGAAACGGAGAUAUUUAUCACUGUAGAUGCAACUCACCAUUGAUUCUUAAGAAGAAAAUAUUAAUGAAGUUCCAGAAACUGACCAGGACUAACUGAACUUAACUAAGAAAUUGGAGUUUGUGUUGUAAUUAACUGGAACUCCCUCAUUGGUCAAUCCAGAGACGAAAGGAACUUUCAUUGGAAGUUGAUAAAAAUCUUUUCUCGUGUUAAAGAGUUUACUCUUGGAGCUAGCUCUCUAGUGGAAUGGCUCAGACUGGGUAAUAUGAAUCUUAUUAAUGCCUACACACAAAAUAAUUUUUUGCAGAAGAAAGUUUUAUAGGAGGCCUUCUAUCGAUAUCAGAGAAGAAAUCUUUAUAUGAAGGAAUGAAUAAAAAGUAGGUACUUGGAUGCCUAAGAAAUUUCCUAACAGUUUCCAAUGGUCUCAAAUUAAGGAAAUCAUCCUGGUAUUAUUUUUCAACUGAGUUCAGUUAGCCUUUGAUAAUUUUUCAGUUGCAAUGCUUCUCCUUUCAGUGAAAAGUAAUGUCUAUUAGUAGAAAGAAAUUAUUUUCUGAAAACUGGGACUUUUCCCUUGUUAAUUUACAUAGAUGAAUUAUACUUGUAGAUGCAGUUUAUACAAAUUCCUCAUAAACAACAGAGAAUAUUUACAGGAGAGACAUUACAAACACUCAAGAUGUGGGAAAGGUUUGAAAAUUGUGGUUUGUAGCUUAUUAAAAUCCUGAAAAUCACACAGAAUGGAAAUAUAAAAACCAAGUUUUCUCAUGUCUGGCGACGGCUGAGCUCACAUAGGAACAUUUUCCUAGAGCAAACAUAGUAAAAAAUUAUUCUUAUCUGCCUGGCAAUCUAUUUUCAUACAACUUGUAGCUCUGAGAUCUCUAAUCUCUAUUGAAUUUGAUUAAAACUGGCCAAGAUUUCAAAAAUCUUUAGGCAGGCAGAUAUAGCUGUACACAAAUAAUUGUACGUGCCUAUGUGUAUAUGCACACCCUCACACACAUACAAAUUACAUCCGAGGGGAGAACCAUUACAGCUUGAGCUUUAGAUACUGUCUGAACUGUUGUGCCAAAAUUAUUAUAUUGUAAAUAGUGAAGGAACUUUAUAGUGGAAAUGUUUAAGGGAGAUAAGGGAGAUAGAUCCAUUAGCAAUGUUUAGAAAGCUGCCUGAUCGCUUUUCAUGUUGUUGAAAGUUGAGAUAGUCUUUGGGUACUUGGUGACCUGCUGGCUGGUGUCUGCAACAGACAUUUCUUUGUUUGCACCACUUCAUCAGCUUGCACCACUAGUUGGACUCAUAAGAAGUAUCUGGCCAUGAGAGAAGGAAUGUACUGCUUUGUUUCAGAUGUGUCACACUGACAUUAGAUUGUUACAUUACACUCCACAGUAAGCUGGUAUGAUAGAGUGAAAUAUUUGUAUUGAAGCACUUGUGACAGAAGAAAAAAGGAGUGAUGUAUAAUACAUUAAAAGACAGAUAACCUUUUGACUGUGGCUGUGAAGUAGUAGCAUUACCUCAAUGUCUGGAUGUGACAUAACUAUUUGCUUACACCUUUAUGGUAGGUCAGCUGCUAAACGUCCUUUGGUGAAAUCUCCUCUGUUCUUUGGAAAAAUAUGAGUGCUUCAUUCCAACAGUUCAGGUCUAGGUGACAAAUAAAAUGCACUGUUAUAAUUUUGGAAGAGGAGUUUCCUUGAAUAUUUGCACACAUUGUUCUUUUCUGGAUGUGUAUCACUGAACUGAGCUAGAGUGAAUACAGGUGAAUACAGGUGCAUCGGGGAGUGUUGUGUGUCUAGUUACAGGAGAAUUCCACUGUAUUGUAAAACAUUCCAGUGUCUCUCUAUUACUGCAAAACAUUCCUUCGUUUCCCUUUCCCUUUCCUUUUCUUUUUUUUCCUUUCUCUAUUUCUCUUUUGUAAAUUUUUCUUAACUUUAUCAUUUUGUUCUGUAACCUUACACUUUCAGGUCUUGAUCUAAACUAAACAUCUAGAAAUAAAGAAGGAUCUUCUUCACUAAUUACUACACAUUAAUAUCAGUUGAAUGAGUGCUAAAGGC